rnacentral:lncRNA from 1 species
UAUGUGAGGACACCAAGAGGUGACCAUCAGCAAGCCCAGGAGAGAGGCCUCAGAAGAAACCAGACCUGCCGAUUCCUUGAUCUUGAACUUCUAGCCUCCGGAACUAUCCAACUUGAAUGCUUCCUGAUUAAAUAUAUACAGGAGUGAUUUCAGAGGAAUUUAAGUUUUGGAUCAUCCUUUUGAGAAAGAAAAAAAAGUACCCUUUUAAAAGAGGUGACUCUUGAACAACACAGGUUUGAACUGCAUCAUUCCACUUAUACACAGACUUUCUUCUGCCACUGCCACUCCUGAGACAACAUGACCAAUCUCUCCCUUUCCUCCUCCUCAGCGUACUUUCAACAUAAAGACGACGAGGAUAAAGGCAUUUAUGAUGAACUACUUCCACAUAAUGAAUAAUUGAACAAAGGAGAGAAUUGUGAGAGUGAGAAAAAGUAAGUGAGACAAAGAAGAAAAACUAUAAAUCAGCAAAAUCCAGUGCCAAGAGCUCUGGACCACAAAUCAGAAGACCUGAGCCCUAAUUCCUUUCCAGUCAUUGGAUUUGUUCAUCGCUUGCCAAAACAGCAGCGAACUCUGUCAAACUGCAGCUCAUUUUAUCGGAGCAAAAACUGAACAAAGAACUGCUAUCAUGUCUGAGGUGUGAUUUCUUAAGCAUUUUGUCUUGUGAUUGAUUUUUUAAAUAUAGUAAUUUUAAAGACACGGUUGAAAGAAGCAGCUGAUAGCUAAUAUCUGAUGGGUAAUAUGCUAAAUUUCCCUG